UACGUAGGGUGCGAGCGUUGUCCGGAUUUAUUGGGCGUAAAGGGCUCGUAGGCGGCGUGUCGCGUCGGGAGUGAAAGCCCGCUGCUUAACGGCGGGUUGGCUUCCGGUACGGGCAUGCUGGAGUGUGGCAGGGGAGACUGGAAUUCCUGGUGUAGCGGUGAAAUGCGUAGAUAUCAGGAGGAACACCGGUGGUGUAGACGGCUCUCUGGACCGUAACUGACGCUGAGGCACGAAAGCGUGGGUAGCAAACAGG
rnacentral:rRNA from 1 species